CGAACAGCAACGUGAUUCGAUAUUGACAUUGGAGCAGUGAGCGAGAGAAAACAUGAGAGGCCCGACAAUACUCUGGUGCCAAGUGAUCGGUUUCAAAUCACGAUUUAUUCCAAAAUAAUUGCAGUGACGAGGUCCAAUGGAUACCAAGUGGGGUUUGCAGAGACUCGUCCAUUGAUUCUCUGGCGGAUUUGAAGGAAAAGCGGUCUGCUCCGUUUCACUAUCGCACUCGCUACUCGCACGCACGGUCUGAUAUUUUUAGUUUCUUUUAAUUCGGGAUUCAACAAACGGAUUCUGAGUCAAGAAGUCGGCUCCUAUAAUCUGUUUUCGGUUAUCCGAGGACCCUCGGAUUUUCAUGAAGCGUUUGCUAAAAUACGUGGCGUUAUUCAUACAGGGUCACACCCACCGCAUCCAUGCGCGUGUGAUUUGUAAACAAAGUUGACACGAGUCUCUCCUGUGAACUUCUUGCAUCGUUCACAAGAAAAUUAUGCUAAGCCAUUAUUUCUUUAACGAUGCCUGCUGCUGUCACUUUGUCAUCGACCGAACAUUUGGUGUGGAGGAAUAUUUGAUGACAGGCACCAAUGCCUUUGACGAAAAAGUAGAGUAGUGGACGACUUUGAAGUGACUUACAGGUGCGAACACCGAAGGGAUUUUUUCUCAAAGGGUUCUGGCCCUCAUGAGAUGGAUCACAUCAACGAAUUCGACAUCAGGCUCGAAAAAGAGGCCUACUAUGCUGGCGAAGUUGUCCACGGCCAUGUCAUUCUUUAUACGACUGAAAAUUUCAAAUUGCGGUCUGUACGAAUGUCAAUGCGUGGACAAGCACACGUAGAAUGGAAAGUUCUAGUUAGCGGGGACAGAAGAAACGUAAAGGACGAUCAAUACUUCGUGGACGAAAGACAAGUUAUAUGGGGCAAUGAUAGCUCUGAAGGACCAAUACCGAUUCUACCACGUGGCAAGCAUCAGUUUCCCUUUAGAUUUAAUUUGCCUGAAAGUGCUCUACCGUGUAGUUUUGAAUCUCGUACUGGAUAUGUAAGAUACUAUGUUAAAGCAACAGUGGAUCGACCGUAUGCAAGUCCCCCACAGGGCUUGAAAUACUUCACUCUCAUUGGACCACAUAUAGAUUGCAUGGACGAGCAAUAUUUGAAACCUAUGAUUGGAACCGAAGUGCACACGGCAUGUUGCCUUUGCUGUAGAAGAAAUCCAGUUGAACUAAGCGUUCAAUUAGAAAGAAGUGCUUACGUUUGUGGUGAGAGUAUAAAACUAAAAGCAGCUAUUGAUAAUAGAGGAUUAGAGAAGGUCUGCUUGCAAGUUAAAUUGACACAGUAUGUAGAAUUCUUUAUCGAUCGUGGCGUGUUGGGCACCAGCAGAGAACAACAAAAAAUGGUCUUAGAGCAUAAAGGAGAACCAAUUACGCCUGGAUCGGCUAUUAAAUGGGACUCCUCAAAGACUUUGAUUCUCCCGGUGUGUCCUCCAACAUUAAUUGGCGUUUGUCGACUAAUACAGAUAUAUUAUGUCUUAAAGGUCAGUGUGGAGCUUGAGAAAUCUGGAGAGGAUAUGCAAAUGCAUUUUCCAAUCACAGUAGCAACGGUGCCUUUCAGGAUACCAAAUAUCGUCAAACAACCUCAAAUUAAAUAUGAUGUGGCAGCGGAGCACGUAGAGGGUGGUUGUUACGUCGGGCCAGAAUUUUUGCUUGGACAGGUCUACGAUGGCUCGGAUCACUUAACACAGGCCCCAUUAAUUCUGUACAGACCGGUUUAUACUUGCGUUGCAAAUGACAGACGAAUUCAGGAUCAUUAAGUCAUCAGGGUCCACAAGAAAGCCUUAAAAGAAUGUUGUCUAUAUCGGAAGACUCUCUUACUGAAUGCCUUAAGUUCGAGGCGAACUCGGGCAGCAAAUAAGCUGUAAGGAGGCCCUUUAUACACGUCAUCGUCCUGGUAUACAAGACGGUCAAUCUAGUCAAUUUAUACGCGAAACUUAUGAAGUUGUGAACUUCAUAGCUGAUUUCAGGAUGGAAUGGAAAUCAGAUCAAAGUUACGGUUCGUUAACGCUUUAAGUCCGUAUCAAAUGAAUUUUAAAUCGUGAUAAUCAAGGAUGACUUAGUAUAAUUUUAAAAAUGUUUUUAACCCGUAAACUGGGAAAAUAGUACACGUGCUCUUAGACUAAAGCCAUCAUGAUUUUCUUUUUUUUUUUUCUCGUGAUCUCAAGUGUCAUCGAUCAUUUCACGAUAUUUUUAAUAAGGGUAUGCAGACAAAUCAUGAAUAUCGACGUGAUAAUGGUUGGCGAGUGUAGCGUACUUAACAUGGUAACGUUAGAUUUUGAUGUCAGCUCUUUUGCUUCUUGCAACCGAGCAAAGACAAGGAAUUAAAGAAGAGGUCGCCCAAGCAGUCUACAGGGCUUGGAUGUGCUAAGAGAUGAUCAUCUCGCAAUCAUCAUCAAAUGCCUCAAGAGCAUAACUUCACUUUCUAGCCGAUCUGAUUUUAACCCUAGAUCUGAUGAUGAACCACUAGUGGACUACAAAAUUAUUCUUUCUACAUAUUGUUUAACCGAUAUCAAUCGCAACCUCAAUUUUUGUCAAGAGUUUUAAUGACAAAUUAUUGAUAUAUCGUUCAUUGAUUAAUUAAGUUUAAAAGUCCUCGAGCUCAAUUUUCUUUACUUUGGAUUUCCUUCACUUUUAUUAAUGAAUCUUUUAACUUUGUUUCAUAUUGUAUAUCUCAAUUUACAAAGGCACAACAGUAUUACACAUUUUUAUUGUAUUACUUCAACAUUCUGUAUGCAUCGAGAAGUAUUCUAUAAUUUAUUUCCGUUUAUGAUACUCAAAUAUUUCUGUAUCUUACAGUUACAGUAUUAUAUCAAUGAAUAAUAGGUGCAUAUAACAGAAUCGCUUUACUUAUACGUGUGUGCACGUGUAUGUAACUUAAGUGUUAUAGUAUAGAGUUAACGAUAGAAAACUUAUUAUUUUCUUAACGGCCUUCAUGACUACUAUAGAUGCAGCUCUUCGGCUUCUUAACGACGGUGAAUAUAUUUUUAAAUCACUUGAUUCUCUAAAUUACAAAAGGCACGUUCUGAUUGUUUUAAUGGAUUGUCACUCCUCAAGAAAAAAAAUUAUCCCGCGUAAUAACCUUCCGAAACCAUUGUGAAAAGAAACAAAUGUUUUUAGUGUACGUUAUAGCAAUCCAAGUAAAUGUAUAAUGUGUCUGUUAAAGCGUACGCGUGCGUGCGUUUAGACGUAUAAAAAGAAAAAGGAAAAAAAAAAAACAGAUAUUAAGUACAAUAUAUGCAAUUACGUUCCCAAAGAGAAAAACCAAAGUCGGUGUACAGUUAAGGGUAUUAAAACUUUAUCGGUGAAUUCUAAAGAAAUAGAUGUAAGAAAGUAUAAACAGUUGUUCCCAAAGCUGUAAGAAUUCCCAUAAAUCUACACAACAUACGUGGAUUAUUGCUAGUUUUGAUGAGGACUUGUCCUUUCGUCUUUCAAAUGCCCCCAGGUUAGUUAAACAAUUGGCAUUAACAUUUGCUAGUCAGUUACAAUUGCUCGGUAGCAGUGCUCUUCCUUUGAAUCAGCCUAGGAGCUUUUGAAACUCGAAAAUACAUUAUUCAGUCUGUACCACUGUUACAUUGUGAUGUACGUUGCCAAACGUUUAAAGAAUUAUAUUAUACAUAUUUAUAUUGUACCUAUGAUACCGUACCUCUAGUAAUCAUACCUAUUACCACGUUGUGAAGAAUAUAUAUUUCAGACGCAUAUUUGUUAUACGAUGGAACUUACCGAUUCAAUAUAAAAGAAGAAAAGUAUAUAUACAUAUAUUAUUCUUAAGAAAAAUUAUGAAGCGGAGGGAAAGAAUGAAAGAGAAAGUGUGAAAAAUACUGCAAUAAUUAUUACUAUUGUUGCUAGUGUUAUGCUUUUUAAAUGUUACCUUUGUAAAAUUUCAAGCUGUCGGUAACAAUAAAUGUUUAUGUACA